CCUACGGGAGGCAGCAGUGGGGAAUUUUGGACAAUGGGCGCAAGCCUGAUCCGGCAAUGCCGCGUGAGUGAAGAAGGCCUUCGGGUUGUAAAGCUCUUUUGUCAGGGAAGAAACGGUCUACUCUAAUACAGUGGGCUAAUGACGGUACCUGAAGAAUAAGCACCGGCUAACUACGUGCCAGCAGCCGCGGUAAUACGUAGGGUGCAAGCGUUAAUCGGAAUUACUGGGCGUAAAGCGUGCGCAGGCGGUUAUAUAAGUCAGAUGUGAAAUCCCCGGGCUCAACCUGGGAACUGCAUUUGAGACUGUAUGGCUAGAGUGUGUCAGAGGGGGGUAGAAUUCCACGUGUAGCAGUGAAAUGCGUAGAUAUGUGGAGGAAUACCGAUGGCGAAGGCAGCCCCCUGGGAUAACACUGACGCUCAUGCACGAAAGCGUGGGGAGCAAACAGGAUUAGAUACCCUGGUAGUCCACGCCCUAAACGAUGUCUACUAGUUGUCGGGACUUAAUUGUCUUGGUAACGCNGCUACGCGUGAGUAGACCGCCGUCGGAGGUACGGUCGCGAGAAGUAAACGUAACGAAGAAGUUAGACGGCGUGAGACGUAGACCGACGGACGACGACGAGGGAGGAGG
rnacentral:rRNA from 1 species